GAUGAACGCUAGCUACAGGCUUAACACAUGCAAGUCGAGGGGCAGCAUGAUUGAAGCUUGCUUCAAUCGAUGGCGACCGGCGCACGGGUGAGUAACACGUAUCCAACCUGCCGAUAACUCGGGGAUAGCCUUUCGAAAGAAAGAUUAAUACCCGAUAGUAUAGUAUUUCCGCAUUGUUUCACUAUUAAAGAACUUCGGUUAUCGAUGGGGAUGCGUUCCAUUAGAUAGUUGGCGGGGUAACGGCCCACCAAGUCAACGAUGGAUAGGGGUUCUGAGAGGAAGGUCCCCCACAUUGGAACUGAGACACGGUCCAAACUCCUACGGGAGGCAGCAGUGAGGAAUAUUGGUCAAUGGACGAGAGUCUGAACCAGCCAAGUAGCGUGAAGGAUGACUGCCCUAUGGGUUGUAAACUUCUUUUAUACGGGAAUAAAGUGGAGUAUGCAUACUCCUUUGUAUGUACCGUAUGAAUAAGGAUCGGCUAACUCCGUG
rnacentral:rRNA from 1 species